GAAAAGAGAAGUAUAGGGGCUGACGCCUGCCCGGUGCUGGAAGGUUAAGAGGAGAUGUUAGUGUAAGCGAAGCAUUGAAUUGAAGCCCCAGUAAACGGCGGCCGUAACAAUAACGGUCCUAAGGUAGCGAAAUUCCUUGUCAGGUAAGUUCUGACCCGCACGAAAGGCGUAACGAUCUGGACACUGUCUCAACGAGGGACUCGGCGAAAUUGUAAUACCCGUGAAGAUGCGGGUUACCUGCGACAGGACAGAAAGACCCCAUGGAGCUUUACUGUAGCUUGACAUUGGAUUUUGGUAUAGAAUGUACAGGAUAGGUGGGAGACUAAGAAGCUAGGGCGCCAGCCUUGGUGGAGUCGACGGUGGGAUACCACUCUUUUUGUACUGAAGUUCUAACUUAGACCCCUGAAUCGGGGUUGAGGACCGUGUCAGGUGGGCAGUUUGACUGGGGCGGUCGCCUCCUAAAGAGUAACGGAGGCGCCCAAAGGUUCCCUCAGCGCGGUUGGAAAUCGCGCGAAGAGUGUAAAG
rnacentral:rRNA from 1 species